rnacentral:rRNA from 1 species
GUAGGUGGCAAUCGUUGUCCGGGAAUUAUUGGGGCGUAAAGCGCGCGCAGGCGGUUCUUUAAGUCUGAUGUGAAAGCCCACGGGCUCAACCGUGGAGGGUCAUUGGAAACUGGAGAACUUGAGUACAGAAGAGGAAAGCGGAAUUCCACGUGUAGCGGUGAAAUGCGCAGAGAUGUGGAGGAACACCAGUGGCGAAGGCGGCUUUCUGGUCUGUAACUGACGCUGAGGCGCGAAAGCGUGGGGAGCAAACAGGAUUAGAUACCCUGGUAGUCCACGCCGUAAACGAUGAGUGCUAAGUGUUAGGGGGUUUCCGCCCCUUAGUGCUGCAGCUAACGCAUUAAGCACUCCGCCUGGGGAGUACGGCCGCAAAGGCUG